GAUACCCCCUGUUACCCUUGUCUAUAUUAUGGGAAGUAGUAGUUAAUGUUAUCGUUGGUGGUGCUGAAACCUUAGAUAAAGGUACCUCGGGCUUUCUCUCUUCAUGCAUGUUCAUGCGAAGAUCCCAAUCAAUUUUUAAAAAUAUAAUAAAAAAGUUAACUAGUUAACUACCAAGGAAAAAACGCCCUUCCUCUCACUCACACUUAGCAACUAACUACCUAGUUAAUCUAAUUAACUUACGCCAGAACUUCCCAAACACCCAAGAAAAUUAAAUAAAAUAACUCCCUGAUUGGAAGGAAAAUGGACAUUUGGACACAAGCUGACAGACAUACCCAUACCCCUCUCCUUUUCCGCGCAAUUCGAGCCCCCGAAGCUUCGAGGGAAUAUUUACAGUAUUUUGCUUCAUGGAAAUUAGCCCCCGCACAUGCAACAAUGGUUCUUUCUGGUCUCCC
rnacentral:sRNA from 1 species